GACGAACGCUGGCGGCGUGCUUAACACAUGCAAGUCGAACGGAAAGGCCUCUUUCGGGGGGUACUCGAGUGGCGAACGGGUGAGUAACACGUGAGUAACCUGCCCUUGACUUUGGGAUAACUUCAGGAAACUGGGGCUAAUACCGGAUAGGAGCUCCUGCUGCAUGGUGGGGGUUGGAAAGUUUCGGCGGUUGGGGAUGGACUCGCGGCUUAUCAGCUUGUUGGUGGGGUAGUGGGUUACCAAGGCUUUGACGGGUAGCCGGCCUGAGAGGGUGACCGGCCGCAUUGAGACUGAGAGACGGCCCAGACUCCUACGGGAGGCAGCAGUGGGAAAUAUUGCACAAUGGGUGGAGGCCUGAUGCAGAAACGCCGUGGGCGGGAUGACGGCCUUCGGGUUGUAAACCGCUUGCGCUCAUGACGAAGCUUUGUGUGACGGUAGUGGGUAAAGAAGCACCGGCUAACUACGUG
rnacentral:rRNA from 1 species